AAAUGAUGUAUUAUACAUUUUCUAACCAAUUCCUUGAAUCGCUCCCAAGCUUCAUACAAUGCCUCAUCUUCAUAUUGCUUAAAAGAUGUAAUAUCAUUCCUCAAUUU
rnacentral:snoRNA from 1 species